CCCCACAAGAACAAAUGUCUUGAACAUACUUGAUGUAGCACUGGGCAGCUUCUUCAUACUCAUUCAGCUGUUCAUGGAGUUUGGCUAGUUUUACCUAUG